UGCUGUGGCGUCUUGGCGCUGG
rnacentral:misc_RNA from 1 species